CCUACGGGUGGCAGCAGUAGGGAAUUUUCCACAAUGGGGGCAACCCUGAUGGAGCAACGCCGCGUGCAGGAUGAAUGCCUUCGGGUUGUAAACUGCUUUUAUAUGUGACGAUUAUGACGGUAGCAUAUGAAUAAGGAUCGGCUAACUCCGUGCCAGCAGCCGCGGUCAUACGGAGGAUCCAAGCGUUAUCCGGAAUUACUGGGCGUAAAGAGUUGCGUAGGUGGCAAAGUAAGUUGGUAGUGAAAUCGUGUGGCUCAACCAUGCUCACAUUACCAAAACUGCUUAGCUAGAGGAUGAGAGAGGUCGUUGGAAUUCCCAGUGUAGGAGUGAAAUCCGUAGAUAUUGGGAGGAACACCGAUGGCGUAGGCAGACGACUGGCUCAUUCCUGACACUAAGGCACGAAAGCGUGGGGAGCAAACGGGAUUAGAUACCCUUGUAGU
rnacentral:rRNA from 1 species